rnacentral:rRNA from 1 species
AUUGAACGCUGGCGGCAUGCUUUACACAUGCAAGUCGAACGGUAACAGGCCGCAAGGUGCUGACGAGUGGCGAACGGGUGAGUAAUGCAUCGGAACGUGCCCAGUCGUGGGGGAUAACGCAGCGAAAGCUGCGCUAAUACCGCAUACGAUCUAAGGAUGAAAGCGGGGGAUCGCAAGACCUCGCGCGAAUGGAGCGGCCGAUGUUAGAUUAGGUAGUUGGUGGGGUAAAGGCUCACCAAGCCGACGAUCUAUAGCUGGUCUGAGAGGAUGAUCAGCCACACUGGGACUGAGACACGGCCCAGACUCCUACGGGAGGCAGCAGUGGGGAAUUUUGGACAAUGGGCGCAAGCCUGAUCCAGCCAUUCCGCGUGCAGGAUGAAGGCCCUCGGGUUGUAAACUGCUUUUGUACAGAACGAAAAGCUCUGGGUUAAUACCCUGGGGUCAUGACGGUACUGUAAGAAUAAGCACCGGCUAACUACGUGCCAGCCGCCGCGGUAAUAC